rnacentral:rRNA from 1 species
AUUGAACGCUAGCGGGAUGCCUUACACAUGCAAGUCGAACGGAAUGGCGAACGGGUGAGUAAUGAAUCGGAACGUGCCCAGUAGCGGGGGAUAACUACGCGAAAGCGUAGCUAAUACCGCAUACUAUCGCACCGGCCGAUAUCGGUUUAGCUAGCUGGUGGGGUAACGGCCCACCAAGGCGACGAGCCAUAGCUGGUUUGAGAGGACGACGAGCCACACUGGGACUGGGACACGGCCCAGACUCCUACGAGAGGCAGCAGUAGGGAAUUUUGCACAAUGGGCGAAACCCUGAUCCAGCCAUCCCGCGUGUGCGAUGAAGGCCUUCGGGUUUUAAAACACUUUUGGCGAGCAAGCGGUACCUGCAGAAUAAGCACCGGCUAACUACGUGCCAUCAGCCGCGGUAAUAC